rnacentral:rRNA from 1 species
GUCUACAUCCAUACCACCUUGAUCGUGCACGAUCUCGUCUAAUCUCAAAAGCUGAGCACAGUCGGGCCUGAUUAGUACCUGGAUAGGAGAAAAGGUCUUAGGAA